UGGUUCCGCCCCGGGGGCGCCGGGAGACCCGAGGUCCUGAAGUGGCCGUCUUUCGGCUGUUGCCUGUGGAGGGUUAAUAAGUUUCUCUUCGUUUAUAAGGAAUGUGAUUAGCGCUUCAUAAGUUAAUUAGCUGCUCUGCGCCUCAGUUUCCCCAUCUGAGAAAAGGUUCUCUCUCCAACGCUCCUACUGCCAGUGUGGCACCGAACACGGUUCUGAGGAGAAAUGAGAAUGCCCAAGGGAAAGCGGCACUUACUGAGUUACAAGUGAGCCCCUUGCACGAGACUGCAGUAAAAAUGGACUGCAUAAUGGUAUUCACUCAAAAACAUAUGGACCAAAUUAAUAUAUGAUAAAGGAGCCAGGGAAACACAAUGGGGAAAUGACAGCCUCUUCAACAGCUGGUGUUGGCAAAACUGGACAGCUACAUGCAAGAGAAUGAAACGAUUAUUGU